CCCGUUUCCAAUCUCACUUUCUCUUUCUUCUUCUCCUCUCGGUCUCCCUCUCUAACCUAAGGAACUGGCUCCAUGGAAAUGGAGAAAUCAGUAAACCUGUUGUUUCAACCAAACUAAUAGAAACCCACCCUUCUCUUGAUUCUUCUUCUGAAAUUCCUCAACUCACUAGUCCAGUUGUAAAUCUCAAAUCUGCUGGGAACAGAUUCAACCCGGUCACUUUUAUUUUUUUUAUCAUUCUAGGGUUUUAUCAAAAUCUCUAACUAGAUCUAAAUAAAUAAGCAUCUCAUGGAUGAUUACUGCUAAAGCUAUUUGUUUUAGGGUGUUAUAGGGUUUCCGAAUCUGAAAUUAUGAGUGUGAUGGAAUUGGAGAAAGGGUUUCCUAUGAAUCUUAAAGACAAAGAUGAAGAGAAUUUGGGGUUGGAAGGAGAUGAGUUCGCUGCAAUUAUUGAAGAAGAUGAUGAUUUAAAAGGGGUUUCUGCUAUUUCCGAGAGAAGAAGCGAAACAAUGAGAGAAUUGAAGUCACGAAUUUGAGAAUUAGAAGAUGGAAUUAGUGAUAUCAUGACAAUAAUCGAUUAGGGUUGCACUGGAUUCGAAGUCAGAUGGGUUUGAUGAUGUUGAUAUGGAGAGGAGAAAUCAUAGAAGAUUAAGAAGAAAUUGAAGUUCUUAGAAGUCUAAGAUUGAGAAAUCAAGAGAUUGCAUGAGAUGAAGAAAAUCCAAUUGAUUCCUGGUAGGAUUUGAAUACAGGGAAUUUUUCUUAACACUAAGUAUCAUCGAUUUACGAGGAGAGAACGAGAUUAAGGAUUAUUCAGAAUCCAUGAAGAAUGGAGAAGUGGUAGGGUUCCAUACAAAUUUGGUUUGAAUUUUGAUUGAAGAAUCGUUUGAAAAGCUUGGCUUGUAUUCAAUGAGUUGCAUGUUUGAAGGUUGUUCCUGAAGGUACCGAUGCUGCAGUCAUAGUGGAUUCUUCUGCUCCCAUAGGUCCUACUCAAGAGCUUUUUGAGAAGCUCUUCUUUGAAUCAGUGGCAAAGGCUAUUCGACCUGGAGGAGUUGUAUGUACCCAGGCAGAAAGCAUAUGGCUUCAUAUGCACAUCAUAGAAGAUAUUGUCUCAAACUGCCAGAUAUUUAAAGGCUCAGUUAACUAUGUAUGGACGACAGUACGCACCUAUCCUAGGUUAGCAUCACUCUCUAUGGAAAUUCAGAUCUUCCGAGGCAUCUGAUUUUAUGACUUAACAUCAAGGAGAAUACAAGGUGGCAAUCCUUACAACUGAAUUAUGCAGUUAACAUCAAGGAGAAUACAAGGUGGCAAUACUGGAAAUGCUUGUGCUGCUCACCUGGGUAUAAUCCACAACGAAAGAGCUGAAUUAAACUACAACGUACAUAUGGUUUACUUGAAAGAUGAGCAUUCCUUCACGUUACUUAUACCCCCAUCUGAGUUUGAAUUACUAAGACCUUAAUCUGGAAGUUGCAUGUAAACCAAGGACACAUCACAUGGAUGCUCUGCUUGAUAUCAUUUGUGAAGUAUUGGCUAAUUAAGUUCAUUGUCAUAGGAGGAGAUGAAUUAUCAUUUUGUUUUUUUAUCAGUUGUCUGUUAGUUUAGCAUGUUGUUGUCAGAACUUAGCUAUCUUGGACAUGUAUUCUAUGAACUCAGUAUUGCACCUUUUUUGUGUAAUUUUACACCCAAUGGAUAAAAUGAAUGAAUGUUAAAAU